GGAUGUGAUCAUACCAGCACUAAAGCACCGUAUUCCAUCUUAACUACGUAGUUAAGCGUGCUUGGGUGAGAGCUGGGAAGUCCUCGUGUUGCAUCCC
rnacentral:rRNA from 1 species